rnacentral:rRNA from 1 species
GUCUACGGCCAUACCACCCUGAACACGCCCGAUCUCGUCUGAUCUCGGAAGCUAAGCAGGGUCGGGCCUGGUUAGUACUUGGAUGGGAGGUAAAUCAUAGGCUUUCAGAUGUCUGUUGCCU